GUCGAGCGAGGUUACUGUUUUGGAUCCCUUCGGGGUGAAGAAGCUUUAACCUAGCGGCGGACGGGUGAGUAACGCGUGGGUAACCUACCCCAAAGUCCGGGAUAACAGCGGGAAACCGCUGCUAAUACCGGAUGUCUUUACCUUGGGGCAUCUUGAGGUAAAGAAAGGUAACGCUUUGGGAUGGGCCCGCGUCCCAUUAGCUAGUUGGUGAGGUAACGGCUCACCAAGGCGACGAUGGGUAGCCGGCCUGAGAGGGUGGACGGCCACACUGGGACUGAGACACGGCCCAGACUCCUACGGGAGGCAGCAGUAGGGAAUAUUGCGCAAUGGACGGAAGUCUGACGCAGCGACGCCGCGUGAGCGAUGAAGGUCUUCGGAUCGUAAAGCUCUGUCCUUGGGGAAGAAGGCGAAAGCUUGACGGUACCCAAGAAGAAAGCCCCGGCUAACUACGUGCCAGCAGCCGCGGUAAUACGUAGGGGGCGAGCGUUGUCCGGAAUUACUGGGCGUAAAGGGUGCGUAGGCGGCCCUUUAAGUCGGAUGUGAAAGCCCGCGGCUUAACCGCGGAAUGGCAUUCGAAACUGGAGGGCUUGAGUGUCGGAGAGGGUAGUGGAAUUCCCAGUGUAGCGGUGAAAUGCGUA
rnacentral:rRNA from 1 species